rnacentral:lncRNA from 1 species
UCCUGACUGCUACUUUAAUUUAUUUAUCUGAUGUUGGACUGUUUAACAUAUUUCUUUAAUGCUCUUAAUUGGAUAUUUCAGAUUUUUAUUGAAAAAUUUCCAUUUCUUUGGAAUAUUUAGUUUUUCUAACAUAUAAUAAAUAUGUAGAGUACAUUAAGCUUUGGUGCUUCUGGCAUUUCAGAGGCUUAGUUCUCUUCUAGAGAAUGAGAGAACAAUUUGUCUUGGUUUUAUUACUUUUCAUUUCUUCUCUGUUAUUCCUUCCUCUCCUUCUUCUGUCUUUCCUUCCUUCCUUUCCCCUCUCCUUUCUUUCCUUUCUUCUCUUUUAUUCCCUCUUUUCUUCCCCAUUUCCCCUUUCUUCCUUCGCUCCAUUUUAUCCUUCCUGUUUUUCUCCCUUUCUUCAUUUUCUUACUUUCCUUCUUCCCCUCUUCCCUUCUUCCUUCUUUCUCUCUUUUCCUUCUUUUCCCUUCCUUUUUUUCUUCUCUACUUUCUUUCCUUCCUUCCUUUUCUUUUCUCCCUCCCUCUUCCCUUCCAGUCUUUCUUAUCUCCAUUCCUCCAUUCUUCCUUGUCACCUUUCUUUUUUUUUUAAACACUAUUUUAUUUGGUCAUUUUCAAACAUUAUUCAUUUGAAACAAAGAUCAUUUUCUUUCCCCUUCUCUCCCACCACCCCUCCCAUUGGCGAUGCGCGAUUCCUCUGGGUAUCACUUGUGUCCUCAAUCCAAAUUCAUUUCCAUGUUACUGGUUUUUGCAUUAGGGUAUUCAUUUCGAGUCUCUCCUCAAUCAUAUCUCCUCCACUGCUGUAUUCAAGCUGCUGCCUUUCCUCUGUGUUUUUACUCCCACGGUUUGUCCUCUGCUUGUGGGUAGUGUUUUUUUCUCCUUGAUUCCAGCAGGUUGUUCAGGGACAUUGCAUUGAAACUAAUGGAAAAGUCCAUUACGUUUGAGUGUACCACAAUGUAUUGACACCUUUCUUUCCCCCCUCUUUCCCACCUUCCUUCCUGCCUGACUUCCCUUCCUUCUUUCACUCUUUUCUUCCUUUUCCCCUUUUUUCUUUCUCAUCCUUCCUUCUUUCUUUUUCUCCCUUCAUUCUUCCUUCCUUUCCUUCACCCCUUGAUGUUCUCCUUUCAUUAUUUUCUUUCUUCCUUUCUUAACCACUCCUCUUCUCUUCUGUCCUUCCUUCAUCCUUCUUUCCUUCCCUCCUUCCUUCUUUCUCUUUCUCUCUUAUAUUUGUCUUUCAGUGAUGUGCUUUUAUAAUAAAGAGAUUAUACUAUAAGAAAUGAUGAAUAAG